UUUCCGUAGGUGAACCUGCGGAAGGAUCAUUAACGAGUUAGGGUCUUUCAGGCCCGACCUCCCAUCCAUAUGUUUAUUGAACCUCUGUUGCUUCGGCGGACCCGUCUCUCGACCGCCGUAGAUACCCCCCGAGGCGUCCUCUAGCCAGUGUCCGCCGACAGCUAAUCACUAAACACACUUAAAAAUAUAACUCUCUACAACUAAGCCUAAGACUCACUCAAAGCAAAACUUCCAACAACAGAUCACGUGGAUCUGGCAUCGAUGCAGAACGCAGCAGAU
rnacentral:misc_RNA from 1 species